CAAUAGCGUAUAUUAAAGUUGUUGCAGUUAAAAAGCUCGUAGUUGGAUUUCUGGUGGGAGCGAUCGGUCUGGCGCUUAGCGCGAGUACUUGCAUCGUCUCCGGCCAUCCUUGGGGAAAGUCUGUCUGGCGUUAAGUUGUCGGGCAGAGGAUCCUCAUCGUUUACUGUGAAAAAAUUAGAGUGUUCAAAGCAGGCUUAUGCCGUUGAAUAUAUUAGCAUGGAAUAAUAAGAUAGGACUUUGGUACUAUUUUGUUGGUUUGCGCACCAAAGUAAUGAUUAAUAGGGACAGUUGGGGGUAUUCGUAUUCCGUUGUCAGAGGUGAAAUUCUUGGAUUUACGGAAGACGAACUACUGCGAAAGCAUUUACCAAGGAUGUUUUCAUUAA
rnacentral:rRNA from 1 species